GACGAACGCUGGCGGCGUGCUUAACACAUGCAAGUCGAACGGUGAAGCGCCUUCCUUUUUGGUGGGUGUGGAUGAGUGGCGAACGGGUGAGUACACGUGAGUAACCUGCCCCCUUCUUCUGGAUAACCGCAUGAAAGUGUGGCUAAUACGGGAUAUUCUGGGUCUGUCGCAUGAUGGGUCUGGGAAAGAUAUUGUUUCGGUGGGGGAUGGGCUCGCGGCCUAUCAGCUUGUUGGUGGGGUGAUGUCCUACCAAGGCGGUGACGGGUAGCCGGCCUGAGAGGGUGGACGGUCACACUGGGACUGAGACACGGCCCAGACUCCUACGGGAGGCAGCAGUGGGGAAUAUUGCACAAUGGGCGCAAGCCUGAUGCAGCGACGCCGCGUGAGGGAUGGAGGCCUUCGGGUUGUGAACCUCUUUCGCCAGUGAAGCAGGCCUGCCUCGUUUGUGGGUGGGUUGACGGUAGCUGGAUAAGAAGCGCCGGCUAACUACGUG
rnacentral:rRNA from 1 species